GGCUUGAGAGAAUGCAUGAACAAAUUGAAGUGCUGUUGCAAGAGCUCCCUUGUGGGUGUGACAAAAGAGGUGUGGAAUCCUUCCCUGGUGCAGAGUAAAGACUUUUAUGGGUCUUUAAGUACGAUGGAUCUUGAAAGCAAUGUCAAGACUACUUGUGAGAAGGUUGCUGAGGCUUCGGGCUUUCAUUCUCUGCCUUAGACUUUGUAAAAUUACACUUGAGAGUUGUGGAUGUGCUUCAUGCCACAGUGGAUGUGAAUCAUGGAUUGAAACAACAAAGGUCUCGAGCACGCCAUCAAAAAUUACUUUCUUGCUGUUCUUAUUUCUGCUGCAGGUA